UUGUUGGGGUUGUAGGACACUCUAUACGGAGUUACAAAAGAACAUGUUAGACGAAUCAUCUGGAAAGAUGAAUCAAAGAAGGUAAUAAUCCUGUAGUCGAAAACAUAUUCUCUCUUGAGUGGAUCCUGAGUACGACGGAGCACGUGAAAUUCCGUCGGAAUCUGGGAGGACCAUCUCCUAAGGCUAAAUACUCUCUAGUGACCGAUAGUGAACCAGUACCGUGAGGGAAAGGUGAAAAGUACCCCGGAAGGGGAGUGAAAGAGAACUUGAAACCGUGUGCUUACAAGUAGUCAGAGCCCGUUAAUGGGUGAUGGCGUGCCUUUUGUAGAAUGAACCGGCGAGUUACGAUCUGAUGCAAGGUUAAGCAGCAAAUGUGGAGCCGCAGCGAAAGCGAGUCUGAAUAGGGCGUUGAGUAUUUGGUCGUAGACCCGAAACCAGGUGAUCUACCCUUGGUCAGGUUGAAGUUCAGGUAACACUGAAUGGAGGACCGAACCGACUUACGUUGAAAAGUGAGCGGAUGAACUGAGGGUAGCGGAGAAAUUCCAAUCGAACUUGGAGAUAGCUGGUUCUCUCCGAAAUAGCUUUAGGGCUAGCCUCAAGUGAUGAUUAUUGGAGGUAGAGCACUGUUUGGACGAGGGGCCCCUCUCGGGUUACCGAAUUCAGACAAACUCCGAAUGCCAAUUAAUUUAACUUGGGAGUCAGAACAUGGGUGAUAAGGUCCGUGUUCGAAAGGGAAACAGCCCAGACCACCAGCUAAGGUCCCAAAAUAUAUGUUAAGUGGAAAAGGAUGUGGCGUUGCCCAGACAACUAGGAUGUUGGCUUAGAAGCAGCCAUCAUUUAAAGAGUGCGUAAUAGCUCACUAGUCGAGUGACACUGCGCCGAAAAUGUACCGGGGCUAAACAUAUUACCGAAGCUGUGGAUUGUCCUUUGGACAAUGGUAGGAGAGCGUUCUAAGGGCGUCGAAGCAUGAUCGCAAGGACAUGUGGAGCGCUUAGAAGUGAGAAUGCCGGUGUGAGUAGCGAAAGACGGGUGAGAAUCCCGUCCACCGAUUGACUAAGGUUUCCAGAGGAAGGCUCGUCCGCUCUGGGUUAGUCGGGUCCUAAGCUGAGGCCGACAGGCGUAGGCGAUGGAUAACAGGUUGAUAUUCCUGUACCACCUAGUAUCGUUUUAAUCGAUGGGGGGACGCAGUAGGAUAGGCGAAGCGUGCUGUUGGAGUGCACGUCCAAGCAGUAAGGCUGAGUGUUAGGCAAAUCCGGCACUCAUAAGGCUGAGCUGUGAUGGGGAGAGGAAAUUGUUUCCUCGAGUCGUUGAUUUCACACUGCCGAGAAAAGCCUCUAGAUAGAUAACAGGUGCCCGUACCGCAAACCGACACAGGUAGUCAAGAUGAGAAUUCUAAGGUGAGCGAGCGAACUCUCGUUAAGGAACUCGGCAAAAUGACCCCGUAACUUCGGGAGAAGGGGUGCUCUUUAGGGUUCACGCCCAGAAGAGCCGCAGUGAAUAGGCCCAAGCGACUGUUUAUCAAAAACACAGGUCUCUGCUAAACCGUAAGGUGAUGUAUAGGGGCUGACGCCUGCCCGGUGCUGGAAGGUUAAGAGGAGUGGUUAGCUUCUGCGAAGCUACGAAUCGAAGCCCCAGUAAACGGCGGCCGUAACUAUAACGGUCCUAAGGUAGCGAAAUUCCUUGUCGGGUAAGUUCCGACCCGCACGAAAGGCGUAACGAUUUGGGCACUGUCUCAACGAGAGACUCGGUGAAAUCAUAGUACCUGUGAAGAUGCAGGUUACCCGCGACAGGACGGAAAGACCCCGUGGAGCUUUACUGUAGCCUGAUAUUGAAAUUCGGCACAGCUUGUACAGGAUAGGUAGGAGCCUUUGAAACGUGAGCGCUAGCUUACGUGGAGGCGUUGGUGGGAUACUACCCUAGCUGUGUUGGCUUUCUAACCCGCACCACUUAUCGUGGUGGGAGACAGUGUCAGGCGGGCAGUUUGACUGGGGCGGUCGCCUCCUAAAAGGUAACGGAGGCGCUCAAAGGUUCCCUCAGAAUGGUUGGAAAUCAUUCAUAGAGUGUAAAGGCAUAAGGGAGCUUGACUGCGAGACCUACAAGUCGAGCAGGGUCGAAAGACGGACUUAGUGAUCCGGUGGUUCCGCAUGGAAGGGCCAUCGCUCAACGGAUAAAAGCUACCCCGGGGAUAACAGGCUUAUCUCCCCCAAGAGUUCACAUCGACGGGGAGGUUUGGCACCUCGAUGUCGGCUCAUCGCAUCCUGGGGCUGUAGUCGGUCCCAAGGGUUGGGCUGUUCGCCCAUUAAAGCGGUACGCGAGCUGGGUUCAGAACGUCGUGAGACAGUUCGGUCCCUAUCCGUCGUGGGCGUAGGAAAUUUGAGAGGAGCUGUCCUUAGUACGAGAGGACCGGGAUGGACAUACCUCUGGUGUACCAGUUGUCGUGCCAACGGCAUAGCUGGGUAGCUAUGUAUGGACGGGAUAAGUGCUGAAAGCAUCUAAGCAUGAAGCCCCCCUCAAGAUGAGAUUUCCCAACUUCGGUUAUAAGAUCCCUCGAAGAUGACGAGGUUAAUAGGUUCGAGGUGGAAGCGUGGUGACACGUGGAGCUGACGAAUACUAAUCGAUCGAAGACUUAAUCAAUUUUUAAA
rnacentral:rRNA from 1 species